rnacentral:misc_RNA from 1 species
GUACCCUCAAGCUCUGCUUGGUGUUGGGUGUUUGUCUCGCUUUUCGCGUAGACUCGCCUUAAAACAAUUGGCAGCCGGCAUAUUGGCCUGGAGCGCAGCACAUUUUGCGCCUCUUGCUAUGAUUGUUGGCAUCCAUCAAGACUAUUUUUUGC